rnacentral:rRNA from 1 species
UCAAGUGAAUAAGCGCAUACGGUGGAUGCCUAGGCGAUAAGAGGCGAAGAAGGACGUUGUAGGAUGCGAUAAGCCGCGGAGAGUUUUCAAGCAAACUUUGACCCGCGGAUUUCCGAAUGGGGAAACCCAAUGACCAUAAGGUCAUUAUCAUACUCUGAAUACAUAGGAGUAUAGAAGCGAACCGGGAGAACUGAAACAUCUAAGUACCCCGAGGAAAAGAAAUCAAUUGAGAUUCCCUAAGUAGCGGCGAGCGAACGGGGACCAGCCGAACAGAAUAGAGUUAGUGGAAGCGUAUGGAAAGUCGCGCGAUACAGGGUGAUAGCCCCGUACACGAAAACUCUUUUUUGACAUAUUAAGUAGGUCGAUGCACGUGAAACGUUGACUGAAGAUGGGGGGACCAUCCUCCAAGGCUAAAUACUCCUUAUCGACCGAUAGUGAACUAGUACCGUGAGGGAAAGGCGAAAAGAACCCCGGAGAGGGGAGUGAAAUAGAUCCUGAAACCGUAUGCGUACAAGCAGUAGGAGCCCCGCCCCUAAAUUACUUUAAAAAAGGAAGCUGAUGCAUUAUUUUUAUGUGUUGCAAAGUAUAGAAGAUAAAGGGAAGUUUUAUUAUGGAUGCACAAGCGACUUGCGAGAAAGACUAAAGUCACAUAACGCAGGAAACAACAAAGCAACCCAAAGUAAUCAAUGGCGAGUAGUCUAUUAUGAAGCGUUUUUAACACUCAGUGGAGCAAGAAAGCGAGAAUAUCGCAUCAAGCAUCACGGAAGUGGGAAGCGAAAUCUAAUGGACAGAAUCAAACCAACUCUAGAGUAAUUUAGGGGCGGGGUGACUGCGUACCUUUUGUAUAAUGGGUCAGCGACUUACAUUUUGUGGCAAGCUUAACCGAGAAGGGGAGGCGUAGCGAAAGCGAGUCUUAAUAGGGCGUAUAGUCGCAAGGUGUAGACCCGAAACCGGGCGAUCUAUCCAUGGCCAGGUUGAAGGUGGGGUAAUACCUACUGGAGGACCGAACCGACUUAUGUUGAAAAAUGAGCGGAUGAGCUGUGGAUCGGAGUGAAAGGCUAAUCAAGCCCGGAGAUAGCUGGUUCUCCUCGAAAUCUAUUUAGGUAGAGCCUCGUGUAUAACUGUUGGGGGUAGAGCACUGUUACGGCUAGGGGGUCAUCCCGACUUACCAAACCGUUGCAAACUCCGAAUACCAACAAGUUUCAGCACGGGAGACACACGGCGGGUGCUAAGGUCCGUCGUGAAAAGGGAAACAGCCCAGACCGUCAGCUAAGGUCCCAAAAUCUAUGCUCAGUGGGAAACGAUGUGAAAAGGCCCAGACAGCCAGGAGGUUGGCUUAGAAGCAGCCAUCCUUUAAAGAAAGCGUAAUAGCUCACUGGUCGAGUCGGUUUGCGCGGAAGAUUUACCGGGGCUAAGCAUAGUACCGAAGCUACGGAUCGACGUUUAUUUAUAAACGGAGGUGGUAGAGGAGCGUUCCGUACGCCUGCGAAGGUUAACUGAGAAGUUGGCUGGAGGUAUCGGAAGUGCGAAUGCUGACAUGAGUAACGAUAAUGGGGGUGAAAAACCCCCACGCCGAAAACCCAAGGUUUCCUGCGCAACGCUAAUCGACGCAGGGUUAGUCGGGACCUAAGGCGAGGCCGAAAGGCGUAGUCGAUGGAAAACAGGUUAAUAUUCCUGUACUUGUUCUAACUGCGAUGGGGUGACGGAGAAGGCUAGAUCAGCUUACUGUUGGAAAUGUAAGUUUAAGCGUGUAGGCAGAGAGUUUAGGAAAAUCCGGACUCUUAAUGCUGAGGCGUGAUGACGAGUUUUUCCUUGUGAAAAACGAAGUGAUUGAUGCCCUGCUUCCAAGAAAAACCUCUAAGCAUCAGGUUAAAACAACCCGUACCCCAAACCGACACAGGUGGGUGGGAUGAGAAUUCUAAGGCGCUUGAGAGAACUCGGCUGAAGGAACUAGGCAAAAUGGAACCGUAACUUCGGGAGAAGGUUCACCUUUUGUAUGUGAAGCCCCUGCGGGUGGAGCAGAAGAAGGUUGCAAUAAAUUGGUGGCUGCGACUGUUUAUCAAAAACAUAGCACUCUGCAAACACGAAAGUGGACGUAUAGGGUGUGACGCCUGCCCGGUGCCGGAAGGUUAAUUGAUGGGGUUAUCUUCGGAGAAGCUCUUGAUCGAAGCCCCGGUAAACGGCGGCCGUAACUAUAACGGUCCUAAGGUAGCGAAAUUCCUUGUCGGGUAAGUUCCGACCUGCACGAAUGGCGUAACGAUGGCCACACUGUCUCCAGCCGAGACUCAGUGAAAUUGAAAUUGCGGUGAAGAUGCCGUAUACCCGCGGCUAGACGGAAAGACCCCGUGCACCUUUACUAUAGCUUUACACUGGACUUUGAACCUACUUGUGUAGGAUAGGUGGGAGACUAUGAAACCAUGUCGCUAGAUGUGGUGGAGUCACCCUUGAAAUACCACCCUGGUAUGUUUGAAGUUCUAACCUAGGCCCCUUAUCGGGGUUGGGGACAGUGUAUGGUGGGUAGUUUGACUGGGGCGGUCUCCUCCCAAAGAGUAACGGAGGAGCACGAAGGUACCCUAAUCCUGGUCGGAAAUCAGGAGUUUAGUGCAAUGGCAUAAGGGUGCUUGACUGCGAGACGGACAAGUCGAGCAGGUACGAAAGUAGGUCAUAGUGAUCCGGUGGUUCUGAAUGGAAGGGCCAUCGCUCAACGGAUAAAAGGUACGCCGGGGAUAACAGGCUGAUACCGCCCAAGAGUUCAUAUCGACGGCGGUGUUUGGCACCUCGAUGUCGGCUCAUCACAUCCUGGGGCUGAAGCAGGUCCCAAGGGUAUGGCUGUUCGCCAUUUAAAGUGGUACGCGAGCUGGGUUCAGAACGUCGUGAGACAGUUCGGUCCCUAUCUGCCGUGGGCGUUUGAGAUUUGAGGGAAGCUGCUCCUAGUACGAGAGGACCGGAGUGGACGAACCACUGGUGUUCGGGUUGUCAUGCCAAUGGCAUUGCCCGGUAGCUACGUUCGGACAGGAUAACCGCUGAAAGCAUCUAAGCGGGAAGCCCCUCCCAAGAUGAGAUCUCACUGGAACUUAAAGUUCCCUGAAGGGUUGUUGAAGACUACAACGUUGAUAGGCUAGGUGUGGAAGCUCAGUAAUGAGUGAAGCUAACUGGUACUAAUUGCCCGUGAGGCUUGACC